CUUGCUUCUGUAAAUCCAAUGUUUGGAGUAGAUCAUUCUGAUGCACCCAUGCUCACAGCUGAUCAGCUGGAGCAACUGAUGUUAUUACAAGAGGACCAGAUGUCAUGCAUGCUUUCCCAGAAUAACGAAGAGAUGAUGUGGAAUAAUAUAGGAGUACCAAG